UGCGGCUUCUCUCCACCAUUGACCAUCAACGCUCGAUUUGAUAUCUCCCCAACCCAGACCAUUGCCCGCCAUCUGUGCCCUGUCUCCUGUUUGCUAAGGACUACGUUUACUCUCUCACUGCUGACACCGGGCCCUUGACACGUUACACGCUGGCAGGCCAUAUCGAUGCUACCAAGUCGCGUCCCUGUGUGAUUCCUGCAAACACAGAGACUCCCGCGCAAAUACGCAACCGACCAUACUGGUUACUAGAUCAGAGGGAAGCAAUUCUGACGUCGCAUAGAAUACAAGAUGAAUGCGUCCGCUCAGGGUGAUGAGCGCGACUCGAGCUCACUUACGGAUCCCGGCGAAAAUGCCAGGUCGCCGCGCGCAGAUACGAGUAGCAGAAGAAAGUCUGGGCGAGCGAAGCGGAAACCUGAGCUCUUUUCGUCUACUGCCUAUACCUCGAGUCGCCCAUCGCAGGGUGGCAGAACGACCAAGCGGAAGCGCGCCGCACAGCAGGAAGACGGGGAUGAGGACGAGAACGACG
rnacentral:sRNA from 1 species